rnacentral:rRNA from 1 species
GACGAACGCUGGCGGCGUGCUUAACACAUGCAAGUCGAACGGACAGGCCCUGCUUUUGUGGGGUGCUCGAGUGGCGAACGGGUGAGUAACACGUGAGUAACCUGCCCUUGACUUUGGGAUAACUUCAGGAAACUGGGGCUAAUACCGGAUAGGAGCUCCUGCUGCAUGGUGGGGGUUGGAAAGUUUCGGCGGUUGGGGAUGGACUCGCGGCUUAUCAGCUUGUUGGUGGGGUAGUGGCUUACCAAGGCUUUGACGGGUAGCCGGCCUGAGAGGGUGACCGGCCACAUUGGGACUGAGAUACGGCGCAGACUCCUACGGGAGGCAGCAGGGGGGAAUAUUGCACAAUGGGCGGAAGCCUGAUGCAGCAACGCCGCGUGCGGGAUGACGGCCUUCGGGUUGUAAACCGCUUUCGCCUGUGACGAAGCGUGAGUGACGGUAAUGGGUAAAGAAGCACCGGCUAACUACGUG